GGUCAAGCAAAUAAGCGCACACGGUGGAUGCCUUGGCGAUAAGAGGCGAUGAAGGACGUGGUAGUCUGCGAUAAGCCUCGGCGAGCUGACAAACUAGCUUUGACCCGGGGAUUUCCGAAUGGGGAAACCCACCCGCUUUGCGGGUAUCUUGCGCUGAAUACAUAGGCGCAAGAGGCGAACCCGGGGAACUGAAACAUCUAAGUACCCGGAGGAAAAGAAAUCAACCGAGAUUCCCCCAGUAGCGGCGAGCGAACGGGGAACAGCCCUUAAGCUUUGCAAGUUCUAGUGGAAUGUUCUGGAAAGUUCGGCCAUAGACGGUGACAGCCCCGUACACGAAAGGGCUUGCAAAAGUGAAAUCGAGUAGGACGGAGCACGAGAAACUUUGUCUGAACAUGGGGGGACCAUCCUCCAAGGCUAAAUACUCCUUAUCGACCGAUAGUGAACCAGUACCGUGAGGGAAAGGCGAAAAGAACCCCUGUUAGGGGAGUGAAACAGAACCUGAAACCGUGUGCGUACAAGCAGUGGGAGCCCGUUUUCGAACGGGUGACUGCGUACCUUUUGUAUAAUGGGUCAGCGACUUACAUUUUGUAGCAAGGUUAACCGCAUAGGGGAGCCGCAGAGAAAUCGAGUCUUAAUAGGGCGCUUAGUUGCAGGAUGUAGACCCGAAACCGGGCGAUCUAGCCAUGGCCAGGUUGAAGGUCGGGUAAUGCCGACUGGAGGACCGAACCAACUUAUGUUGAAAAAUGAGUGGAUGAGCUGUGGCUAGGAGUGAAAGGCUAACCAAGCCCGGAGAUAGCUGGUUCUCCCCGAAAACUAUUUAGGUAGUGCCUCGUGUUUCACUUCCGGGGGUAGAGCACUGUAAUGGCUAGGGCCGCAUCUCGCGGUACCAACCCAUUGCAAACUCCGAAUACCGGAAAGUGCAAUCACGGGAGACAGACGGCGGGAGAUAAGUUUCGUCGUCGAAAGGGAAACAGCCCAGACCGCCGGCUAAGGUCCCCAAACACGUCUCAGUGGGAAACGAUGUGGGAAGUCUCAGACAGCCAGGAUGUUGGCUUAGAAGCAGCCAUCAUUUAAAGAAAGCGUAACAGCUCACUGGUCGAGUCGUCCUGCGCGGAAGAUAUACCGGGGCUCAAGACGUGUACCGAAGCCGCGGGUGCGUGCAUUCUUCGGAGUGCGCGCACGGUAGGGGAGCGUUCCGUAGCCCGUUGAAGGCGUGCCGUGAGGCAUGCUGGAGGCAUCGGAAGUGAGAAUGCUGACAUGAGUAGCGACAAUGCGGGUGAGAGGCCCGCACGCCGAAAGCCCAAGGUUUCCUGCGCAACGCUAAUCGGCGCAGGGUGAGUCGACCCCUAAGGCGAGGCCGAAAGGCGUAGUCGAUGGGAAUCAGGUUAAUAUUCCUGAACCGAAUAUAACUGCGACGGGGUGACGGAGAAGGCUAGGUCGGCCGGGUGUCGGAUAUCCCGGUUUAAGCGUGUAGGUUGGGAGCCCAGGAAAAUCCGGGCUUCCUUAAGACUGAGACGUGACGACGAGCGCCCUAACGGGCGCGAAGCGAUUGAUGCCAUGCUUCCAGGAAAACCCUCUAAGCUUCAGGUUGUAUUCGAUCGUACCCCAAACCGACACAGGUGGGCGGGGAGAGAAUCCCAAGGCGUUGAGAGAACUCUGGUGAAGGAACUCGGCAAAAUGACACCGUAACUUCGGGAGAAGGUGUGCCUCCGGUAGGUGAAGGGCUUCGCGCCCGGAGCCGAUGGGGGUUGCAACAAAGAGGUGGCUGCGACUGUUUACUAAAAACAUAGCACUCUGCAAACUCGCAAGAGGAAGUAUAGGGUGUGACGCCUGCCCGGUGCCGGAAGGUUAAGUGAUGGGGUUAGCCCUUGGGCGAAGCUCUUGAUCGAAGCCCCGGUGAACGGCGGCCGUAACUAUAACGGUCCUAAGGUAGCGAAAUUCCUUGUCGGGUAAGUUCCGACCUGCACGAAUGGCGUAACGAUGGCCACACUGUCUCCACCAGAGGCUCAGCGAAAUUGAACUCGCUGUGAAGAUGCAGCGUACCCGCGGCUAGACGGAAAGACCCCGUGAACCUUUACUACAGCUUCACACUGGACUUUGAGCACGCAUGUGCAGGAUAGGUGGAAGGCUUUGAAGCGGAGACGCCAGUCUUCGUGGAGCCAACCUUGAGAUACCACCCUUGCUUGUUUGGGGCCCUAACCGAGGCCCGUGAUCCGGGUCCGGGACCAUGUGUGGCGGGUAGUUUGACUGGGGCGGUCUCCUCCCAAAGAGUAACGGAGGAGCGCGAAGGUGCUCUAAGUGCGGUCGGAAAUCGCACGGCUAGUGCAAAGGCACAAGAGCGCUUGACUGCGAGACAGACACGUCGAGCAGGUGCGAAAGCAGGUCUUAGUGAUCCGGUGGUUCUGUAUGGAAGGGCCAUCGCUCAACGGAUAAAAGGUACUCCGGGGAUAACAGGCUGAUACCGCCCAAGAGUUCACAUCGACGGCGGUGUUUGGCACCUCGAUGUCGGCUCAUCACAUCCUGGGGCUGUAGCCGGUCCCAAGGGUAUGGCUGUUCGCCAUUUAAAGUGGUACGCGAGCUGGGUUUAGAACGUCGUGAGACAGUUUGGUCCCUAUCUGCCGUGGGCGCCGGAGACUUGAGAGGAGCUGCUCCCAGUACGAGAGGACCGGAGUGGACGUACCUCUGGUGUUCCGGUUGUGAUGCCAAUCGCAUUGCCGGGUAGCUAUGUACGGACGGGAUAACCGCUGAAAGCAUCUAAGCGGGAAGCCCCCCUCGAGAUUAGGUCUCCCCGGGGCCUUGCGCCCCCUGAAGGGUCGUUGAAGACUACAACGUUGAUAGGCUGGGUGUGGAAGUUCAGCAAUGAAUGAAGCUAACCAGUACUAAUUGCCCGUGCGGCUUGACCAU
rnacentral:rRNA from 1 species